AAGGCAUGGUGUGGGCAUUUUUGGAGCAUUUCUGUGUACCUUUUUCAAGCUUCAUAGAGUGAUUCCCCCUCCUUUUGAAAAAAAAUUGAUGUCAUUUCUCAACCG